UGGCUCUCGCAUCGAUGAAGAACGCAGCGAAAUGCGAUAAGUAAUGUGAAUUGCAGAAUUCAGUGAAUCAUCGAAUCUUUGAACGCACAUUGCGCCUUUUGGUAUUCCGAAAGGCAUGCCUGUUUGAGUGUCAUAAGACCUCUCAUACCUAGUUUUCUAUGUAUGAGCUUUGGACGCUGCCAUCCGUGGCUCGUCUUAAAUGUCUAAGUGGAAUGCGUAAUAAGUUUUCGCUCCCUCCACUCUAAUAACUUUUAUGUUAGACCUCAAAUCAGGUAGGACUACCCGCUGA
rnacentral:misc_RNA from 1 species